UAUGAACGCUGGCGGCGUGCCUAAUACAUGCAAGUCGAGCGAACAGACGAGGAGCUUGCUCCUCUGACGUUAGCGGCGGACGGGUGAGUAACACGUGGAUAACCUACCUAUAAGACUGGGAUAACUUCGGGAAACCGGAGCUAAUACCGGAUAAUAUAUUGAACCGCAUGGUUCAAUAGUGAAAGACGGUUUUGCUGUCACUUAUAGAUGGAUCCGCGCCGCAUUAGCUAGUUGGUAAGGUAACGGCUUACCAAGGAAACGAUGCGUAGCCGACCUGAGAGGGUGAUCGGCCACACUGGAACUGGGACACGGUCCAGACUCCUACGGGAGGCUGCAGUAGGGAAUCUUCCGCAAUGGGCGAAAGCCUGACGGAGCAACGCCGCGUGAGUGAUGAAGGUCUUCGGAUCGUAAAACUCUGUUAUUAGGGAAGAACAAAUGUGUAAGUAACUAUGCACGUCUUGACGGUACCUAAUCAGAAAGCCACGGCUAACUACGUGCCAGCCGCCGCCGUAA
rnacentral:rRNA from 1 species